CCUACGGGUGGCAGCAGUGAGGAAUAUUGGUCAAUGGACGAGAGUCUGAACCAGCCAAGUAGCGUGAAGGAUGACUGCCCUAUGGGUUGUAAACUUCUUUUAUAUGGGAAUAAAAUGUUCCACGUGUGGGAUUUUGUAUGUACCAUAUGAAUAAGGAUCGGCUAACUCCGUGCCAGCAGCCGCGGUAAUACGGAGGAUCCGAGCGUUAUCCGGAUUUAUUGGGUUUAAAGGGAGCGUAGGUGGAUUGUUAAGUCAGUUGUGAAAGUUUGCGGCUCAACCGUAAAAUUGCAGUUGAAACUGGCAGUCUUGAGUACAGUAGAGGUGGGCGGAAUUCGCGGUGUAGCGGUGAAAUGCUUAGAUAUCACGAAGAACUCCGAUUGCGAAGGCAGUUCACUGGACUGCAACUGACACUGAGGCUCGAAAGUGUGGGUAUCAAACAGGAUUAGAUACCCUUGUAGUC
rnacentral:rRNA from 1 species